UAGGGAAUCUUCGGCAAUGGACGAAAGUCUGACCGAGCAACGCCGCGUGAGUGAAGAAGGUUUUCGGAUCGUAACACUCUGUUGUUAGAGAAGAACAAGGACGUUAGUAACUGAACGUCCCCUGACGGUAUCUAACCAGAAAGCAACGGCUAACUACGUGCCAGCAGCCGCGGUAAUACGUAGGUGGCAAGCGUUGUCCGGAUUUAUUGGGCGUAAAGCGAGCGCAGGCGGUUUCUUAAGGCUGAUGUGUAAGCCCCCGGCUCAACCGGGGAGGGUCCUUUGAAACUGGGAGACUUGUGUGCAGAAGAAGGGAGUGGAAUUCCAUGUGUAGCGGUGAAAUGCGUAGAUAUAUGGACGAACACCAGAUGCGUAGGCGGCUCGCUGAUCUGUAACAGACGCUGAGGCUCGAAAGCGUGGGGAGCAAACAGG
rnacentral:rRNA from 1 species